AAUUUUUUCUAUGACUAUAGAUUUUUUUCGUUUCUGGUUCAGAAAGCUUUUGAUUAAUUUGGGCUUUAAUGUAUUUCAAAGUAAAAUUACAUGUUAAUACGUAGUAUUAAUGGCGAGACUCCUGAGGGAGCAGUGCCAGUCGAAGACAGGGGCCCCAACACAGAAGCUGACAUAUAGUCAGCUUACAACAAUGUGCCGGUUGGGGUGGCUGAGACGGCACCCUAGGAAGGGACCCGUCAUCAAAAAUUCUAUUUAUAGAAUUUUACAGUAAUGUGACAGACGGGCAAAGCGAAGCCAUUCAAUACGAAGUAUUGUAUAAAUAGAGAACAGCAG
rnacentral:ncRNA from 1 species